rnacentral:misc_RNA from 1 species
CGGCUCGGCUGUUGUUCGCCCACAGCUUUUCAAGCAAUUAGAAGCGUUUAGCGAAAGCUUAUUGUGGAUUAGUUGCAAUGGCGCCGGGGAAAGCUGACAGUUCAAAAAAGCCUGAUCCAAAGGCACAGGCUGCCAAGGUUGCAAAAGCGGUGAAGUCUGGUCCAACCUUCAAGAAGAAGGCCAAUAAGAUCAGAACUAAGGUUACAUUUCAUCGCCCAAAGACAUUGAAGAAGGAGAGGAAUCCCAAGUACCCUCGCAUUAGUGCCCCA